GCUGGGUGUGGUGGUGCACACCUGUAAUCCCAGCUACUCAGGAGGCUGAGGCAGGAGAAUCGCUUGAACCUAGGAGGCAGAGGUUGCAGUGAGCCGAGAUUGCACCACUGCACUCCAGCCUGGGUGACAGAGUGAGACUCUGUCUCAA
rnacentral:sRNA from 1 species